GAUAAAAUGGCUGAAUUUUAGGCGGUAAAUUGUAAAUUUAUUUAUGGGUUAAACCCUUUUGUCA
rnacentral:tRNA from 1 species